rnacentral:rRNA from 1 species
AGCCAGACUCCUACGGGAGGCAGCAGUGGGGAAUAUUGCACAAUGGGGGAAACCCUGAUGCAGCGACGCCGCGUGAGCGAAGAAGUAUUUCGGUAUGUAAAGCUCUAUCAGCAGGGAAGAAAAUGACGGUACCUGAGUAAGAAGCUCCGGCUAAAUACGUGCCAGCAGCCGCGGUAAUACGUAUGGAGCAAGCGUUAUCCGGAUUUACUGGGCGUAAAGGGAGCGUAGGCGGCCUGCCAAGUCUGAUGUGAAAUACCGGGGCUCAACCCCGGGGCUGCAUUGGAAACUGCGUCGCUGGAGUACGGGAGGGGCAGGCGGAAUUCCUGGUGUAGCGGUGAAAUGCGUAGAUAUCAGGAGGAACACCGGCGGCGAAGGCGGCCUGCUGGACCGUGACUGACGUUGAGGCUCGAGAGCGUGGGGAGCAAACAGGAUUAGAUACCCCUGUAA